AACGAACGCUGGCGGCAGGCUUAACACAUGCAAGUCGAGCGCGUAGCNAUACGAGCGGCAGACGGGUGAGUAACGCGUGGGAAUCUACCCAACCCUACGGAAUAACGCAUGGAAACGUGUGCUAAUACCGUAUACGCCCUUUUGGGGAAAGAUUUAUCGGGGAUGGAUGAGCCCGCGUUGGAUUAGCUAGUUGGUGGGGUAAAGGCCUACCAAGGCGACGAUCAGUAGCUGGUCUGAGAGGAUGAUCAGCCACACUGGGACUGAGACACGGCCCAGACUCCUACGGGAGGCAGCAGUGGGGAAUAUUGGACAAUGGGGGCAACCCUGAUCCAGCCAUGCCGCGUGAGUGAUGAAGGCCUUAGGGUUGUAAAGCUCUUUCGUCAGGGAAGAUAAUGACGGUACCUGAAGAAGAAGCCCCGGCUAACUUCGUG
rnacentral:rRNA from 2 species